rnacentral:rRNA from 1 species
UGGGGAAUAUUGGACAAUGGGGGGAACCCUGAUCCAGCGAUGCCGCGUGUGUGAAGAAGGCCUGCGGGUUGUAAAGCACUUUAGUUGGUGAGGAAAGGCAGAUUUUUAAUAGAGGUCUGUUGUGACGUUAGCCAAAGAAUAAGCACCGGCAAACUCUGUGCCAGCAGCCGCGGUAAUACAGAGGGUGCAAGCGUUAAUCGGACUUACUGGGCGUAAAGGGUGCGUAGGCGGGAGCUUAAGUUAGUUGUGAAAGGCCUGGGCUUAACCUGGGAACUGCAAUUAAGACUGGGCAUCUAGAGUUGAGUAGAGGGGAGCGGAAUUUCCGGUGUAGCGGUGAAAUGCGUAGAUAUCGGAAGGAACACCUGUUGCGAAGGCGGCUCUCUGGACUCAAACUGACGCUGAGGCACGAAAGCGUGGGUAGCGAACAGGAUUAGAUACCCAAGUAGUCCCUGAGCGGGCUGGCAAGGCGCAU